GGUAUGAGCUUUCGUGUGCAUGCACACUUAUCUGAAGAAGUAUCUGAAGAAGUGUGCAUGCACACAAAAGCUCAUACC